GGGGCUUUAGCUCAAAUGGUAGAGCGUAACGCUGGCAGUGUUAAGGUUAUCGGUUCGAGCCCGAUAAGCUCCA
rnacentral:tRNA from 1 species